CCCAGGUGAGGUGACAUGAGCCUAUAGUUCCAGCUACUGGGGAGGCUGAAGUGGGAGGAAUGCUUGAGGCCCGUUCUGAGCUGUAGUGCGGAGCCAUAAGUUCAUCAUCAAUAUAGUGACCUCCCAGGAGCAGGGGACCAGGCUGCCGAAGGUGGGGUGAACCAGCCCAGGGUGGAAAUGGAGGAGGUCAAAACUCUCGUGCUGAUCAGUAGUGGGAUCACACCUGUGAACAGCCACUGCACUCCAGCCUGGGCAAUAUAGCAAGACCCUGUCUCU
rnacentral:SRP_RNA from 1 species